UUUACUUUAAGCGAGCGUGAUCUCUGUACUCCGGAACGUUGUUUUUUUUUUAUGAGUUCGUACUGGGCGACUGGUCUGCACAUCUCCCUCACAGUUCUAAGGACCAGGGUUAAAAACCCGGCCCCGUCUGUCGAGUAUUUGCGUUUUUUUCCACGUGGCUGCGUGGGUUUUCUCCGGUUACUCUGUUUUCCUCCAUCUAAAAACGUCCGUGGUAGGUUGAUUGAAGACUCUAAAUUGUCCGUAGGUAUGAAUAUAAGUGUAAAUGGUUGUUUAUUUGUCCCCUCCGAUUGGCUGAUGACUAAUUAACGGUGUACUCUACUUCUCGCCCGUAGGUAGUUGGGAUAUGCUCCAGUAUGCCCACAAUUUAAGUGAGGGUAAACAGAAGAGAAAAUGGAAGGAUCGUUGGGCGCGCGUUCUGCUUCUUUGAACACCGCACUCUCAAUGAGCAGUGAGAGGGUCAGAUUUCCGAACGCACCCUCAACGAGUGUGUUGACAGUUGUCAGCAUUGGUUUGUCAGGAAUAUGUCAGUGCGUCCAGUACUGGGCCAACUACACUGCUGAUCGGCCAAAAGUACAGAGGACGAUAUCUCAGCCGUUGUUCAAUGCGUGUUAAAUCGGACAAAGUAAAGAUAGACUGGCUGCGAUAACCCCUCGGGUCUAUCUACCCUCUUCAUAUUGAAAUAGUGUAGAAGGAAAAAAAAAAUUCCAAACAAGCUGAUUUGCUUGUCUGAAGCCAGUUCAUCGCGUCAUAAACACAGUGCACAUGGAAAAGGGGAUUUACACGCAUUUUCUGUCCCCUAACUUACUUAUGCAGGCUUCGUGUAUCUCUCUCUCAUAAUUAUACAAUACCGAUGAGUUUUUAUUUUCAGAUAAAUCUCAGUGAUGGAUACAGCGUAACAACCUCCUGUCAAUGUGUCUUGUAGAAUUCAUAUGUGGCAGCAGCUCUGUUGAAUGGGUGAGAUUUUUCAUAAAAAUGACUGAAAAAUUACCAAUGACAAAUUACUAAUAAAAAGUUGCACCACAUAUAUAAAAAAAAUUAAAACGUGUCUCUACAGAUGUGAUAUAAACAGGUAAUAUACAUAUGUAAACGUUGUGAUUUGAGACAUGCUAACAGGUAGAAAUGCAACCACAGUUUAGAUGUUAAAUGUGCAUGGCAGAAGCAUCCAAAGUCAAAGACAAACAAACUAUAGACGACUUGUUCCCACCCAGCAUGCCUGAUACAUGUACCAAGGCAAUAAAUUACUCUGAGAAAAGAAAACAAUUUUUUAAAAAAUUGGAAUGGGCUUCAUUGAUACUUGUUACAUAUUAUGUGCACAUUGGAAUGUUAUUAAAGUCUUUGUUGGUGUAUAUAUUUUAACAUAAUAUAAAUCAUGCACAGAGCACUGAGGAGAAAAUUUAAUGACACAGAUCGUGUCUUUCUGCAUCAAGAACUAUCCAAGAUGUGCAGAUUUAUUGUAUUUCAUUAUAUAUAUCAAAACAAAUUGAACUGAAAAAAGUCAGGGAGCUGUAAUAUUUACCAACAAUUUCAUGUAGAAUAUUGAUAACAUCCAUCCAUCCAUUUUCUUCGCCGCUUAUCCUCACAAGGGUCGUAGGGCGUGCUGGAGCCUAUCCCAAUUGUCAACAGGCAGGAGGCGGGGUACACCCUGAACUGGUUGCCAGCUAAUCGCAGGGCACAUUGAAACCAACAAACACACUCACAAUCACACCGAGGGGCAAUUUACAGUGUCCAAUUAAUGUUGGAUGUUUUUGGAAUGUGGGAGGAAACCGGAGUGCCCGGAGGAAACCUACGCAGGCACGGGGAGAACAUGCAAACUCCACAAAGGUCUGAAGUGGAUACUUGAUCUGGAACCAAUGGAUUAGAAGCCUCCUGCUGCCAUAGUCAAGGAUCUACUGGUCGGUCAUGACUACAAUAAAGCGGAGAAUGCCUCGGGUUGUGUCACCUACAGUCAUACAACAGACUGCAUAAAUUUCUUCUGGACAAAGGACAAAUCCCCUGGGGUCAGUGAUAAGAAGGCUCCGUAUCACAGCUUCCAAUUUUGGCGAAGUACUCACAGCAGCACGAAGAAGGGUCUGUGUCAUUGAAGAAGAAACUAAUGUCACAGUGCAAUUUGUAAGCAGUCAGAGAAGUGGCAUGAGGGAUUACCCAUGAAGCUGAUGCCCUUCGACUCUACCAGGAUCAACUGGGUGGUGCUGUAUCUGGCUUCACGAGUUGGGGGGUCCUUGGAGUGUCUCCAGAUGGCAUUGUCCUCUGCCACCCAUCAAGAGGGAGGAUAUUCUGGCAAACACCAGAGGCUCAGGACCUAGUGCCUCAAAUGAUAAAGAAGUACAAAGUGACAACCUCAUCCUCAAGAAAAGUCAUGCAUACCAUCAUCAAAUAAAGGGUCACAUGUACCGAACAGGAACAACAUGCUGUGACCUUGUGGUAUGGACACCGCAAGACUAUGCCAUCGUCAGAAUACCUGUAGCUAGAUCUUGGCUCCCGAACCUGGGUAUCCCAAUGGAAUUUUAUUUUUCAAAUUUUUACCUUCAAUGACAUAAUAACCGUCUUCAAUUGUUGUGUCCGAUCGAAUGCUAUGGUUCUGUCGUGUACGCCGCCACCGCCGUAGAUCAAGAUCAACUUUGUAAGACCAUGAAGAUAUUAUUUUUACAGCCACAGUUGUUAAUGGUGAUCACAAAGUUAAAAAGCAUUUACAAUAUGUUGUUUAGUCUUUUAUGCCUUUUUGCU